UACAGAGGGUGCGAGCGUUAAUCGGAAUUACUGGGCGUAAAGCGUGCGUAGGCGGUUAUUUAAGUCGGGUGUGAAAGCCCCGGGCUCAACCUGGGAAUUGCAUUCGAGACUGAAUAGCUAGGGUACGGUAGAGGGAAGUGGAAUUUCCGGUGUAGCGGUGAAAUGCGUAGAUAUCGGAAGGAACACCAGUGGCGAAAGCGACUUCCUGGACCAGUACCGACGUUCAGGCACGAAAGCGUGGGUAGCAAACAGG
rnacentral:rRNA from 1 species